rnacentral:rRNA from 1 species
UGCCAGCAGCCGCGGUAAUACGGAGGGGGUUAGCGUUGUUCGGAAUUACUGGGCGUAAAGCGUACGUAGGCGGACUAGUCAGUCAGAGGUGAAAUCCCAGGGCUCAACCCUGGAACUGCCUUUGAUACUGCUAGUCUUGAGUUCGAGAGAGGUGAGUGGAAUUCCAAGUGUAGAGGUGAAAUUCGUAGAUAUUUGGAGGAACACCAGUGGCGAAGGCGGCCAUCUGGCACGAUACUGACGCUGAGGCACGAAAGCUAGGGGAGCGAACGGGAUUAGAUA